rnacentral:rRNA from 1 species
UACGUAGGCAGCAAGCGUUGUUCGGAAUUACUGGGCGUAAAGAGUGUGUAGGCGGUGUUCUAAGUCUGUUGUGAAAUCUCCCGGCUUAACUGGGAGGGUGCGGCGGAAACUGGAAUGCUAGAGGAUGGGAGAGGUAAGCGGAAUUCCUGGUGUAGCGGUGAAAUGCGUAGAUAUCAGGAGGAACACCUGCGGUGUAGACAGCUUUCUGGACCACUUCUGACGCUGAGACACGAAAGCGUGGGUAGCAAACAGG